rnacentral:misc_RNA from 1 species
GAACAAAUCUCUCUGUAUAAAGAUUUACCAUGAGCUGGAAAACUUCAUAUCUUGGAGGAAAACAAGGAGCCACAUAGUCAUAUAUCUCUCCAAGCUCUUCUCCUAUCACUCUAGCUUCCUCUAUAGCUGUUUUAAGGUCUUGCUCAUCGAGCAAUUUGUCAAAACGUGCUUCAACGGACUUCCUUAUACUUUCAUAACAUUUGUCCUUGUAGCCUUUUCCCUGAGCCUUCAACUUCUGCUGUGUGAGAUUUUUAGAAGAAGUUGUUUUUUUGGCAUUUCUUCGAGGAUUUGCGACUGAAGCCAUAGCACCACCUCCCUCAGCCUCAGCU